rnacentral:rRNA from 1 species
AUUGAACGCUGGCGGCAGGCUUAACACAUGCAAGUCGAACGAUGAAGACAUAGCUUGCUAUGUUGGAUUAGUGGCGGACGGGUGAGUAACACUUAGGAAUCUACCUUUUAGCGGGGGAUAGCUCGGGGAAACUCGAAUUAAUACCGCAUAAUUUCUACGGAAUAAAGAGGGCUUUUAGCUCUCACUAGAAGAUGAGCCUAAGUAAGAUUAGCUAGUUGGUGGGGUAAAAGCCUACCAAGGCGACGAUCUUUAGCUGGUCUGAGAGGAUGAUCAGCCACACUGGGACUGAGACACGGCCCAGACUCCUACGGGAGGCAGCAGUGGGGAAUAUUGGACAAUGGGGGCAACCCUGAUCCAGCCAUGCCGCGUGUGUGAAGAAGGCCUUUUGGUUGUAAAGCACUUUAAGCAGUGAAGAAGAUCUAUUGGCUAAUACCCAAUAGCGAUGACAUUAACUGCAGAAUAAGCACCGGCUAACUCUGUGCCAGCAGCCGCGGUAAUACAGAGGGUGCAAGCGUUAAUCGGAAUUACUGGGCGUAAAGCGGGCGUAGGUGGUUAAAUAAGUCAGAUGUGAAAGCCCCGGGCUCAACCUAGGAACGGCAUCUGAAACUAUUUAACUAGAGUAGGUGAGAGGGAAGUAGAAUUUCAGGUGUAGCGGUGAAAUGCGUAGAGAUCUGAAGGAAUACCGAUGGCGAAGGCAGCUUCCUGGCAUCAUACUGACACUGAGGCUCGAAAGCGUGGGUAGCAAACAGG